rnacentral:rRNA from 1 species
UACGUAGGGGGCAAGCGUUAUCCAGAUUUACUGGGCGUAAAGCGCGUGUAGGCGGCUGGUUAGGCGUGAUGUGAAAUCUUCCGGCUCAACCGGAAAACUGCAUUGCGAACCGGCCUGGCUAGAGUGCAGGAGAGGGAAGCGGAAUUCCAGGUGUAGCGGUGAAAUGCGUAGAGAUCGGAAGGAACACCAGUGGCGAAGGCGGCUUUCUGGAUUCAUACUGACGCUGAGGUGCGAAAGCGUGGGGAGCAAACAGG